rnacentral:lncRNA from 10 species
ACUGCAGAGUAGUCUUCAUAGUCACGAUGCGCUGUGCUGAGGCUGCUGCUUAGAAAGGUGGGGCUUCUUCUCCCUGCUUACCCACGUGUCUGGCUGAUCUCUCAGCUCAGCUGCAGGAGCUUGUUGGUCCUGAAGAGUGGUCUGUCUUUAUUUGCUGAUACUUAAACUUUCCUUCUUGAAAACUGAAUCACUGCUAUUUGGUGCACAUUUUCACCCAGUCUGAGUGCCACCUUACAUCUUUCAUUCUGCAUCUUGAGAAUUCUGUUUUACAGUCAGAGGUGACAACUAGAUCAGAGCAUUGACUGCUCCCAAUUUCGCUUUUACAAAAGAGAGCAAAGGAAGUGGUGAUGUUAGGUUUGGGGGUGAUGAUAAAGUCAGAGAGGGGAACUCCCACUGAAGCCCACAUUAUGAAAAGAGCUGAACCAACUUGUACUCUUGAUCUCCCCUUAAAAGCUGGUUUUGUACCUGAAUGGAGAGAAGUGCAGAUAUUAGAGACCUGGCUGAUGUCUGGUGCUUCAUUGCCCUGAAUAGACAGAAAAAUGCAGACCCUUGGGAAGCAAAGUGCUUGACAGAGCUGAAAGUGAACAGCAGAGGCUGGGAGGAAGCAGGACCAAACAAAUCCAGAAAUCCUCCAAGGCUGUAGCCCUAGGCCCAGCAGGUGGUGGUCAGGACAAAGUAGGAGCAUGUACAGUGUUGAGAUCAGAGUCUUGGGAAAGCACCUGUUACAGGUCAGAGUGAAGGAUGAUCCCAGAAACAAGUCAGACAAGAGGCAGGUUUGUCCAAUAGAACAUAAAACUGUGACGCUUGAAGAUAAACGUGACCUUGACCAGCCCUGAGCAGCAGGACUCUUUGGUCCAACUGCCCGAAAAACUAUUGUCAAGAAAAUGCCCAGUGACCUCCAAACUCCUGACCUUUCAAUUACCUCAGUGGAUGGACCGAGAGAAAGGUGACUUUUAAUAAAACACAAAUAAUAUCACUAAACCAUCAAAAAUUGAAUCCCAAGACGGUUUCUCACUAAAUUUUAUUUUCCCUGCCUCCCUCAAAGGAACUGUGUAUUGAAGUUCUCCAUCUGCUGAUGAUCUCUUAGGCUUAUCUCGGUGUAGUACAUCCAUUUAGCAAUGCAGAUAAUCAGCAUUUGCAGAAUGGCACUCAGUUUUGCAGCUGAAAAGAUUAGAGUAUACAAUCCACCAUUCAUUCUCAAGGGAAGGAGUCAUCGCAUUGAAGCAGUCUAAUUAUGGCCAUCAGUCCAAAUGGCAUGGUGGCCAAGGAUCAACCCCACCAGCAUAGGAAGUUCCAGGCUCCAAGAAAGCCCAGAGGUUUUGGAAUUAGUGAGCUAAGUGAGUUUGCCUCAUUCCCACACAUCUUGCUCCUCACUUCCUUUACUGUGCCCUGUGGUUGGUGACAUGACUGCAUAUCUGCCACUUCUCACCACUUUGUAUAUUCACCCUGCCUUGUCUUGAUUUCUCAUCUUGAUAAUUCUCCCAUCUUUUGCUCAAGACACUUUUAAACAACUCUCAGAGUAACAUCCUUCUUUGGCCCUAGUGAGCAUUUGAAAUAUGUUCUAUAUUCUAAAGAUCCAGAACAUGUGGGCAUUUUCACGAUCCAGCCUGUCACCAUGUGUUGUUUAGCCACACGUGUUCAAAGCAGAUUUCGAGUUGAGUUAUUUCUAGCUGGGCACAAACAGGGUUCCAUUUUCAUAGGCCUCACUCUUCCCUACUGCAUUACAUGGUUUCUUCUUCACUUCUACUACACUACUCCUUCUUUAAAUUACAGAAGCUUAAACAUAAACAAAAGUAGAACAAAGUGGCAUAAUGAAACACCACAAAUCCAUUACUUUGCUUCAAAAUUUCUUAGUACAAAGCUAUUAUUUUUUAUACCUACAUGCCUGUGCUGUAAAAUAGAUGGACUACUUUGAGCCAAAUCAAAGACAUCUUAUAACUUCAUUGGUAAAUAGCUUGUAUUUAUAAGUAGGUAAGAGACGUUCACUUUAAAAAGCACAAAUCAAAUAUCAAUUAAACAUUCAAAUCUCAAGAAUUCUCACAAUCCCCACCCCACCCACCCUCCUCUAUCUUCUCCAUCCCCAUUACACUAUCACUCUUCAUUUGACUGGUUCAAAUCAGAAGUCAAAUGAAGUUGACACGUUGUGUUUGGUUGAUAUGUCAACAAAGUCACUUAUAAUUUAUCAUUUCUUAUCUUGUAAUUUCUUUUUGAAAAUGUUGAGUUUAUCACAUUUGCCCUUUUCCCAGCAAAAGGCAUCCCAGUGUCUCCUCACUAUGGAGUGGAAGGAGCAAGAGGUUUAUAAUAGCAUCUUGUUAUAUUGAAGUCACAAGCUACCAGCAUCUUCUUAUAUUGAAGUCACAGGCAGGAUUUAAAUUCAUCUUAUAUGUAAGUAUGGUAUCCCAGUGUGUCAGUGAAGAGACAGAUGUUACUGAGAUCACCUUGCCCAGGGACGCAUCUCCUAAUAUCUGCAAGGAUGUCCUGUAUACCAAAAGUAUAGCUUCAUUCCUUCUAAUCCCAAAGACUCUCAAAUAAAGCAAAUCUGCGGGAGGACAAAGAUGAUGGUGAUCUAACUUCCUGUGCCAGCAUCAUCAUUUUACAAUAAGAUUUGACUUUGGUUAAAGUUUGAAAUUCUCCUCUGAGGAAACACAUUUCAGGAUGUUAUCUUUCAUGCAUACCUUAUCAUGAAGAAAGGAUCCAACUAUUCAUAAUCUAGAUUUCCACUGAUUUCUUUAACCACAGUUUGAUAACAACCACCAGUGAGGUAGUCAGGUCCAGGUCUUAUGGAACUUUAUUCUGUUCAUUGGGAAUGUGGGUUUUAUUGAUGAGGGAGUGAUAAACUAUUGGAGAAUUCUCAAUUGUGGCGUCAUGUCUUCUGAGUUAUACUUUUACAGGAAUGAUUCUGGUUGCUCUGAAGGAACAGAUAGAUGUGGGGAGACAAGAAUAAAAGCAAGGAGGCUUGUAACUGGCUGUUUUCAUACUAGAGGAACUUCAGGACUGAAUCCUGCAGUAGAAGCAAGAACAGGCUAUUGGGAGACUCUGGUCCUCAACUGCACAAAGAAGGGCCCAUAUCCUCAACUCUGCCACAGACCUCUUUGAUUCCAGUUGGAAGCCUGGAGAUUUCACUGCUGCUGAGGAGGGUUCCAGGGACUGGGAAACCUGAGCUGUGAGCUGAGCUUGGGUGAUCUGUUUCCAUCUGUGGUCUGGUGCUGAUGGUUUCCAAGGCAGGAAUCAAGUCAGUCCUUGAAGAGCUACAACAGAGCAAAAGUGCAGGUAAACAAAGCAACACGAAGGCUAAAUAAAAGUCAUUUCCCCAAGCAAAAUAAGGGUAGGGACCUUCAGAUGGACAGAUUAGCCUGGAUUAAGCAGAUGGAGAAGCCGAGGAUCAAGGAUCGGGCCAGGAGCCAAGGAAUACUGCCACCUCUAGAAGUUGGGAACGGCCCUCAGCUUACAGCCACUAAGAAAAGGGGGAUUUUGGCCCUCUAGCUGCAAGGAAUCUAAUUCCACUUGAAUUAACAAGGAACAUCCAGGCAGGAAUGUAGCCCUGACAACACCCUAAUUUAGGCCAGUCAGGCCCGGACAGACUUCUGACCCACGGAAUUCUAAAAUAAUUUGUGUUUCUUAAACCAUCAAAUUUGUUGUAAUUUGUUAUGGUAGCAACAGGAAUCAAAUAUACCUCUCUACUUUUACAAGAUAUUGUUGUCUGCAGCCUGUUUGAAGUCGGUGACUAAACACAGCUGGUUACUAUGGCAGGCCCAUUCUGAAGAGUUGCAGGACACCCUCGGGAGUACUUUGGUUUGAAGCCUCCUCAUCACCUCGGCUGCCGUUUCUGGGAUCUGGGUUGCAGUCUGAGGCUCAUUUUUCCAAUUCCCAAUACUUCCUACUGAUGAUAUUCUUGAGAGUCAGGCUUUAUCAAGAGAGAAAAAGGACUUUAAAAUUUUCAAACUCCUUUUUAAAUAUCAGAGAUUUUUUUGGCCUACUUUGAUUACAGGUCCUUACUUAUAAGUCUCUCCUUCCUAGGGAGAAAAUAGAAAGCUUUAAGAGACAGAUUACACUUUACCUGACAUUCAUUUUUGCAUGCCUUGUUAAACAUGAAAGAAUGUGUUAAGGCCAUUUUUUAUUGUUUAAUUUGUUGUUUUGACUUUGGGUGUGUGUGUUUGUGUCAAUUAUUUUUUAAUCUACUAGAACAUUCAUUAUCCUUUUUAUUUUGGAAAACAAGGGUGAGAAAGGUUACGUGAUCUGGAGGUAAAAAUACACCAUUAUGUAAAGUUGAAGUGUCAUCCCCUGAAUCCACAUUGCACAUCUAUAAAGUAGAAGAACUUGUCUUACUCCAGUGUUUAGUAUUCGUUAGGUUAAUGUUUUUCAAACAAGCUUGAUAGUAAGAAGCAUUUGAGACUUUUGUUUAAAAUACAUCCCCCUCUACCACUGAAAGUUUAAUUUGGUAAGUUUGUUUGGACAUACAGAUUCUGUAUUUCUAAGAAAUAUUUAGAUGGUUUUUAUCAGACUUGGAGGUCCUCUUAUUGAAAAUAAAAAAGUAGACAUGCUCACGAUGAAGUUUACCUUUUCUUUCUAUUCAUCUAUUUUAAAAAAUAUUUAUGAAAAAUGCUUGCCUGCUGCUUAGCUUGAUUUAAGAGAUAAACUGAUCAGACAGAAUGUCAAGCCAGCCAGCAUCUCCUGGUCUACACCAAAGCCUUUCCUACUUCUUUCAAACAGUGAAGGCACCAGGACAGAGU